GUAUCGGCCUACCAAGGCGACGACGGGUAGCCGGCCUGUGAGGGUGACUGCCCUCAGUGUGACUGAGACACGACCCACACUCCUACGGGAGGCAGCAGCGGGGAAUCUUGCGCAAUGGGCGAAAGCCUGACGCAGCGACGCCGCGUGAGGGAAGGAGCCCCUCGGGGUAUAAACCUUUUUUCACGCGGAGAAGUAAGAGAUAGUACCAGCUUAAAAAGCCACGUUUAACUACGUGCCAGCAGCCGCGGUAAUACGUAGGUGGCGAGGGUUGUCCGGAAUUACUUGGCGUAAAGGGUGCGUAGGCGGAUCCUAAGUUGAGCGUGAAAUUUUUGGGCUCAACCCAAAAGGAGCGUUCCACAAGCCCCGGCUAGAGUGCGGGAGAGGACAAAGGAAUUCCCGGUGUAGCGUUGAUAAGCGUUGAUAUCGCGAGGAACACCCGUGGAGAAGGCGGCCGUCUGGACCCUUACCCGCUCGAGGCACGAAAGUGGGGGGAGCAAACAGGAUAGAUACCCCCAAGAUCACGUCCAAACGAAAUUG
rnacentral:rRNA from 1 species